rnacentral:lncRNA from 1 species
CCCCUGCUUCCGCCCCGCCAAGACCAGCAGUCUAAGCCGCUGUCCCUGGUGCCUGUGCCUCGGGCCUUUUGGCCGCGUUUGUCCUCCUGACUGGGCGACUAGCUCAGGCGGAGUGGGCAUUGGGGGCGACUGUUCAUGGGGAAGAUAUAAAUAAUUAAUCGGUGUAAGAGUAUUCUCUGACGAGACACACGAAACCUGCAGUGCCUUAGUGCUCUCCAGCUGGCAUUUUGCAUCACAGCUUCCUAAAAAAGAAGACCCAGCAGACAUGAGUGAAAACAGCUGCCUGCACAAGUUGUCCCCUAACAGGUACAGCCAAGAGUCAGAAGCACAGAGGGAGCUGGGGAAGCGACAUUUCUUACAGAGCCCACUGCUGUCCCUGUGUGAAGUGGCUCAUAUCAGCUCUCGAUUCUAUGCCGGUGUUCUGGAUUUCCUCUUGAGAUGUGCAUUUGUAUCAGCCAUCCUGUCCCCUGUGCCUCUGACGAGCUCCCUUCUGGAUGGCCUGCUGUCAUGCUGAGAUGACCCUUCACUAACAUCUGAGAAGUCCCUUUGCUGUUCUACGGUGUGGAAAACUUGUUUCCUCCAUCUCAUGUCUUCUUCCUUGCUUAAUUCCUUUGUUUAAUGAAACAAAUUAAUUCCUUUGUUAAUGAAACUUCCCAAUAGUUUCCUAAGAAAAGUGUGUAAGUGGUCAACUAUUUGCAACCUAAUAUGUCUGAAAAUUCUACAUAUACUUUUAACAUGUAGUUUGAUUGGGUAGAUGAGUCCAGUGUGGAAAUAUUUUUUCAAAAAUUAGAAGCUAUUGCACUAUUGUCUUGUAGUAUGGUGUGUUGCUUUUGAGAAGUUGUAAGCCAUUUUUUUUUUUAAUCCUUUGUGUGUUUAUAUCUUUUCUUCUGUUUUUGCACCUCACAACCUUUUAUUUAUUUUUUCUCAUCAAUGCAAUAAACUUUCAUGAUGACAGGGCUUGUGUGGGUCAUGCUGUUCAAUUCUGGGAAAUUUCCUUGACUGACUUUAUUGGUGAUUUCCUCCUCUC